rnacentral:rRNA from 1 species
UCGAACGGGCUCUUCGGAGCUAGUGGCGGACGGGUGAGUAACGCGUGAGAAUCUGCCUCCAGGUCUGGGACAACAGAAGGAAACUUCUGCUAAUCCCGGAUGAGCCCUUGGGUAAAAAAUAAAUUGCCUGGAGAUGAGCUCGCGUCUGAUUAGCUAGUUGGUGUGAUAAAAGCAUACCAAGGCGACGAUCAGUAGCUGGUCUGAGAGGAUGAGCAGCCACACUGGGACUGAGACACGGCCCAAACUCCUACGGGAGGCAGCAGUGGGGAAUUUUCCGCAAUGGGCGAAAGCCUGACGGAGCAAGACCGCGUGGGGGAGGAAAGCUCUAGGGUUGUAAACCCCUUUUCUUUGGGAAGAAGUACUGACGGGACCUAAGGAAUCAACCUCGGCUAACUCCUUGCCAGCUGCCCCGGUAAUAAGGAAGAAGCAAGCGUUUUUCCCGAAUGAUUGGGCGUAAAGCGUCCGCAGGGGGCCUUGUAAGUCUGCUGUCAAAACCCAGGGCUUAACUCUGGUCAGGCAGGGGAAAUUACAAAGCUUGAAGUUUCGGGAGGGGCAAAGGGAAUUCC